rnacentral:rRNA from 1 species
GAUGAACGCUGGCGGCGUGCCUAAUACAUGCAAGUCGAGCGAACAGACGAGGAGCUUGCUCCUCUGACGUUAGCGGCGGACGGGUGAGUAACACGUGGAUAACCUACCUAUAAGACUGGGAUAACUUCGGGAAACCGGCGCUAAUACCGGAUAAUAUAUUGAACCGCAUGGUUCAAUAGUGAAAGACGGUUUUGCUGUCACUUAUAGAUGGAUCCGCGCCGCAUUAGCUAGUUGGUAAGGUAACGGCUUACCAAGGCAACGAUGCGUAGCCGACCUGAGAGGGGGAUGGGCCACACUGGAACUGAGACGCGGUCCAGACUCCUACGGGAGGCAGCAGUAGGGAAUCUUCCGCAAUGGGCGAAAGCUUGACGGAGCAACGCCGCGUGAGUGAUGAAGGUCUUCGGAUCGUAAAACUCUGUUAUUAGGGAAGAACAAAUGUGUAAGUAACUAUGCACGUCUUGACGGUACCUAAUCAGAAAGCCACGGCUAACUACGUG